rnacentral:rRNA from 1 species
AUUGAACGCUGGCGGCAGGCCUAACACAUGCAAGUCGAGCGGAGCGGCGGACGGGGGAGUAAUGACUAGGAAUCUGCCUGGUCGUGGGGGAUAACGUCAGGUAACGGGCGCUAAUACCGCAUACUAUCAGAUUAGGCUAGGGCGGAUUAGCUAGUUGGUGGGGUAAAGGCCGACCAAGGCGACGACCCGUACCUGGUCUGAGAGGAUGAUCAGUCACACUGGAACUUAGACACUGUCCAGACUCCUACGGGAGGCAGCAGUGGGGAAUAUUGGACAAUGGGCGAAAGCCUGAUCCAGCCAUGCCGCGGGUGUGAAGAAGGUCUUCGGGUUGUAAAGCACUUUAAGUUGGGAGGCGUUACCAACAGAAUAAGCACCGGCUAACUUCGUGCCAGCAGCCGCGGUAAUAC